rnacentral:rRNA from 1 species
UGGGGAAUAUUGGACAAUGGGGGCAACCCUGAUCCAGCCAUGCCGCGUGAGUGAUGAAGGCCUUCGGGUUGUAAAGCUCUUUUGGCGGGGACGAUGAUGACGGUACCCGCAGAAUAAGCCCCGGCUAACUUCGUGCCAGCAGCCGCGGUAAGACGAAGGGGGCUAGCGUUGUUCGGAAUUACUGGGCGUAAAGCGAGUGUAGGCGGUUGCCGUAGUCAGGUGUGAAAGCCUUGAGCUCAACUCAAGAAAUGCACUUGAUACUGGGUGACUAGAGGACCGGAGAGGAUAGUGGAAUUCCCAGUGUAGUGGUGAAAUACGUAGAGAUUGGGAAGAACACCAGUGGCGAAGGCGGCUAUCUGGACGGUUACUGACGCUAAGACUCGAAAGCGUGGGGAGCAAACAGGAUUAGAUACCCUGGUAGUCCACGCCGUAAACGAUGGGUGCUAGACGUUGGCGAGCUUGCUGUCAGUGUCGCAGCUAACGCGUUAAGCACCCGCU